CCUACGGGAGGCAGCAGUGGGGAAUAUUGGACAAUGGGCGAAAGCCUGAUCCAGCAAUGCCGCGUGGAUGAAGAAGGUCUUCGGAUUGUAAAGUCCUUUCGGCGGGGACGAUAAUGACGGUACCCGCAGAAGAAGCCCCGGCUAACUUCGUGCCAGCAGCCGCGGUAAUACGAAGGGGGCUAGCGUUGCUCGGAAUGACUGGGCGUAAAGGGCGCGUAGGCGGUUUGGUUAGUUAGACGUGAAAUUCCCGGGCUCAACCUGGGGACUGCGUUUAAGACAGCCAGACUUGAGUGAGGAAGAGGGUCGUGGAAUUCCCAGUGUAGAGGUGAAAUUCGUAGAUAUUGGGAAGAACACCGGUGGCGAAGGCGGCGACCUGGUCCUUUACUGACGCUGAGGCGCGAAAGCGUGGGGAGCAAACAGGAUUAGAUACCCUGGUAGUCCACGCUGUAAACGAUGUGUGCUGGAUGUUGGGUAACCUAGUUACUCAGUGUCGUAGCUAACGCGAUAAGCACACCGCCUGGGGAGUACGGCCGCAAGGUUGAAACUCAAAUGAAUUGACCGG
rnacentral:rRNA from 1 species